rnacentral:tRNA from 1 species
GAAGACUAAAUUAGCUAAAAGGCCUCCACCUUGACAGGGUGGAGGUCGUGAGUUCAAGCCUCUCCGGGGUCA